rnacentral:lncRNA from 1 species
CCAGCUUGAUGCAAUCAAUUAGAAGUACAGAAACCAAUCAGCUGUGUGUCACCUUCAACUACGACUUUCGGAUGGCAUCUACAAGAGCAAAGACUGUUCUUAGCACUGUAACAGGGUUAAAGAGAUAGGCAUGUAAAAUGAUGUAAAUAAUAAAACUUAAACAUAUUUUUGUUUGCACCAUUAAACUUAAUCUAUCAUUCAAACAGCAACAUCAUGCACGAGUAGGUAAAAAAACAACACUGUAAAAUGUAAAAUGGGUAAAUUAUUAAGAUCAUUAAGGGAUGACAGGUAUUGCUUUAAAUCUGGACCGUUGGUCAUUGCCUCCUUGGAUUGAAUUUUAUGAAGUUACUAGUUCCUUCAGAAUACUCGGUGGAAGACCUAGCUGCUCGCAUCCAACUCUUAUCCAUUCUCAACUGAACAGAACCAAGUUCUACGACAUGUUAAAGUAGAGACCACAUAAAAUUCUAUAAUAAAUAUUCGAAUGCAUCAAAGAGAAAUUUCUAAAGCAAUAUCAGUUUACUACUAGCAAAAUCAAAGGGAUGUUUAUAUAGAAGACCUCACGUGUAGCAACAAAACAGAUUAACUGAAACCUGAUGCAACAAGAUUAGAAGUAACACAGUACACUAGAUAACAUGUAGGGAUGUUCUAUAUAGAAAUGCCAAAUGCACCUGUAUUUUGAUUAUCAGUGUGUCUAUAUAGCUUACUAUUUGUGUGCACUUUUCUAACAUGAAUAGAAGGCCACCAUGCACAGAAGGCCACAACAAACAAGCUCCAAUUUCAAUAGGACAAGUUGCCACACUCCUAGUAUAAUUACAAAAAGAACAUCCAAAAUAGUACAAGGUGAUCCUAGAUGUUAUAGCGUAAUGAUUCUUCAUCCAUAAGUCUAGCACAAACAAAAACUGGAAGAAAAAUGAACUACAAAAAUGAAGAGACAUUACCUCGAACACCUUGUGUGCAGCAGGUCAUCGAAUCAACAGCAAUCAAACAUGGGCUUGUCUGGGUGGGUUGGGGUGGGGGGGUCAGCGCUGAUGCCUUCGUGACCUGGACCACUUGCUCUUCCUCCUCCUCUCCGAGCCUGGAUCUUCCCUUCUUCUUCACCGUGCACUACCAAUCCCACCCCGAGAUUGGGGACAAGAGAGGGAAAGAUUGGGGACGAGAGAGGGAAGGCACGGGGUGGCUAUGGCGGUGCAGUUCGUGGCAGCUUCUGAGGCUCCGGCGUGGAGCGCCGGUGGCGGAGCAGGCGCCGGUGGCGAAGACGACAAGGCGCCCAGCAUGGAGCAGCUACGAUGGCCGUGGUGUUCCUCUGUUUUUUUUACCUUGGAAGGCAGCAUGAGGGUU